rnacentral:miRNA from 1 species
UAAUGAGAAGCUUUUAGCUGAGCCUAGUGGCUCAUGCCUGUGAUACCAGCACUGGGGAGGCUGAGGCAGGAGGAU